AGAAAAUAAACGAAACACCUCCAACUGACUGCAGUGGGAGAAAAGCCCAGCUGACACGUUUGUUUUCAACGAUCUCAUGGCUCCUCUGGUCUCCCAGCCUGGCCUCCUGUUUGCCUGUUGAGAAAGCUCAGUGCCCUCGUUGAAUCCCUCCCCAGACUUCCCAGAACUGCGGAGCUCUUCUCUGGAAGCGCGAGGAGAAUGCUGUGCUCGUCUGGAAGGUCAAACAUCCUUCUGGGUUCACAGGAGCAGACCUGCCAAGUCAAGGAAAGAUCUGAGAAGCUGUGAGAACUGAUGAAUGUCAGUGCCAAAGGGAGAUAAAGGGAAGAGUUGAACAGCAGGGGAAGAUCUUCUGGACGUGUUUUGAAAGCUGUAACCCUGAUGACUUACUCCAUCUGAUCUGUGAUAUUUAAAGCAUCUUUUUGCUUAGAGAGAGGAAUGCGGGGUUAGAUAAGAGGUAGUUAAGAUAAUAACAGUGACCCAGGUUGCUUGGGCUUGGGCCUGUUCCUACAAGGGAUAUUUGAACGUCACAUUACAGAUUCAGAGAGAAGCAGAGGUCGUUUGGAUGGUGCAUCACCUCCUGGAGACACUGUGACAUGCCCCAGGACAUGGGAAGGUAAGAGAUGGCCCUGCAGCACAGAAGGGCUCGACCAGGCUGUGGAGCAGAAGCCACAGCUCCUUUGUCACUGCCCUGUGAACAGAAAGGACAGAGCAAGGACCUAUGGCUGAUGGCAGACAGGCACAAGACAGAAUUAAGCAGCACAUUUAUCACAGUGAAGUGAUUAGCCGCUGGAGCAUACAACCAAGGAAAUGGUGAACACAGGGGAUGGGGCACACAGCGAGACCAGGAGGAGACGUGAGAGUUGGAUGCAGUCAGGUCAUCUGAUAAUAUCCUGUUCUUAUACUACUGGAAAGAGUGCAAUGAAUUGGAUUUCAUCACCUUCAUAAACCUGGAUGAACAG
rnacentral:lncRNA from 7 species